CCUACGGGUGGCAGCAGUGAGGAAUAUUGGUCAAUGGACGAGAGUCUGAACCAGCCAAGUAGCGUGAAGGAUGAAUGCCCUAUGGGGUGUAAACUUCUUUUAUAAAGGAAUAAAACGAGGCACGUAUGCCGUUUUGCAUGUACUUUAUGAAUAAGGAACGGCUAACUCCGUGCCAGCAGCCGCGGUAAUACGGAGGAUACGAGCGUUAUCCGGAUUUGUUGGGUUUAAAGGGAGCGUAGAUGGGUUGUUAAGUCAGUUGUGAAAGUUUGCGGCUCAACCGUAAAAUUGCAAUUGAUACUGGCAGUCUUGAGUACAGUUGAGGUAGGCGGAAUUCGUGGUGUAGCGGUGAAAUGCUUAGAUAUCACGAAGAACCCCGAUUGCGAAGGCAGCUUACUAAACUGUGACUGACAUUGAUGCUCGAAAGUGUGGGUAUCAAACAGGAUUAGAUACCCCGGUAGUC
rnacentral:rRNA from 1 species